CUACUUAUUUGGCAGGGGCGAUACCAUGAUCACGAAGGUGGUUUACCCAGGGAGAGGUUUAUCCAUUACACUCUGGAUGUGCUGAUGCCGGCAAUUUCCCCAAAUGUGGGAAACUCGACUGCAUAAUUGGUGGUAGUGGGGGACCAAAUUUUCACUCUCCCCUAU
rfam:Erinaceus europaeus unplaced genomic scaffold scaffold00938, whole genome shotgun sequence